GACGAACGCUGGCGGCGUGCUUAACACAUGCAAGUCGAACGGAAAGGCCCUGCUUUUGUGGGGUGCUCGAGUGGCGAACGGGUGAGUAACACGUGAGUAACCUGCCCUUGACUUUGGGAUAACUUCAGGAAACUGGGGCUAAUACCGGAUAGGAGCGCCUGCUGCAUGGGGGGGGUUGGAAAGUUUCGGCGGUUGGGGAUGGACUCGCGGCUUAUCAGCUUGUGGGUGGGGUAGUGGCUUACCAAGGCUUUGACGGGUAGCCGGCCAGAGAGGGUGACCGGCCACCUGGGGACUGCGAUACGGCGCAGACUCCUACGUGAGGCAACAGUGGGGAAUAUGGCACAAUGGGCGGAAGCGUGAUGCAGCAACGCCGCGUGCGUGAUGACGGCCUUCUGGUUGUAAACCGCUUUCGCCUGAGACGAAGCGUGAGUGACGGUAAUGGGUAAAGAAGCACCGGCUAACUACGUG
rnacentral:rRNA from 1 species